CCUACGGGUGGCAGCAGUGGGGAAUAUUGCACAAUGGGGGAAACCCUGAUGCAGCGACGCCGCGUGAGUGACGAAGUAUUUCGGCAUGUUAAGCUCUUUCAGUAGGGAAGCAAAUUCCGGUACGUGAUUAAGAAGCCCCGGCUAACUACGUGCCAGCAGCGGCGGUAAUACGUAGGGGGCAAGCGUUAUCCGGAUUUACUGGGUGUAAAGGUGGCGUAGACGGCAGCACAAGUCUGGAGUGAAAUGCCGGGGCUUAACCCCGGAACUGCUUUGGAAACUGGGCAGCUAGAGUGCAGGAGAGGUAAGUGGAAUUCCUAGUGUAGCGGUGAAAUGCGUAGAUAUUAGGAGGAACACCGGUGGCGAAGGCAGCUUACUGGACUCUAACUGACGUUGAGGCUCGAAAGCGUGGGGAGCAAACAGGAUUAGAUACCCUAGUAGUC
rnacentral:rRNA from 1 species